AUUGAACGCUGGCGGCAGGCCUAACACAUGCAAGUCGAGCGGAUGAAGGGAGCUUGCUCCUGGAUUCAGCGGCGGACGGGUGAGUAAUGCCUAGGAAUCUGCCUGGUAGUGGGGGAUAACGUCCGGAAACGGGCGCUAAUACCGCAUACGUCCUGAGGGAGAAAGUGGGAGGUCUUCGGACCUCACGCUAUCAGAUGAGCCUAGGUCGGAUUAGCUAGUUGGUGGGGUAAAGGCCUACCAAGGCGACGAUCCGUAACUGGUCUGAGAGGAUGAUCAGUCACACUGGAACUGAGACACGGUCCAGACUACUAAGGGAGGCAGCAGUGGCGAACAUUAGACAACGGGCGAAAGCCUGAUACAGCCAUGCCGCGUGUGUGGAGAAGGUCUUCGGAUUGUAAAGAACUUUAAGUGGGGAGGAAGCGCAGUAAGUUAAUACCUUGCUGUUUUGACGUUACCAACAGAAUAAGCACCGGCUAACUUCGUG
rnacentral:rRNA from 1 species